rnacentral:rRNA from 1 species
UACGAAGGGUGCAAGCGUUAAUCGGAAUUACUGGGCGUAAAGGGUGCGUAGGCGGUUCGUUAAGUCUGUCGUGAAAUCCCCGGGCUCAACCUGGGAAUGGCGAUGGAUACUGGCGAGCUAGAGUGUGUCAGAGGAUGGUGGAAUUCCCGGUGUAGCGGUGAAAUGCGUAGAGAUCGGGAGGAACAUCAGUGGCGAAGGCGGCCAUCUGGGACAACACUGACGCUGAAGCACGAAAGCGUGGGGAGCAAGCAGG